AUACAUAUUGGCAGGGGAGAGACCACAAUCAAGAAGGUGGGUCUCCCAAGAUAAGGAUCCUCUACUGCACUACAGAGGGGUUGACCCCUGCGGUUUCCCCAAAUGUGAAAAACUCAACUGUAUAAUAAUUUACGGUAGUAGGGGACUGUGAUUUGCUGUGCCUCAC